CCUCUCUCACGCCGCCGCGAGCGCCAUUAGACGCGCCUCGACGCCGCACACCUCCUCCUCCACCCAAUCGCCCGGGGAUGCCCCAAAUCUUCGCCGAUUUCACCGUAUCCCCCUCCGACCCGACGGCAAUUUUCUUCAAUUCCGGCGAACGACGACCUCCUCCGGCGCUGGUGACCACACGUCGAGCUCCCAGAUGUCCGACGACGGCCGCCUUCCGACGACCUCCCCCUGGCGGCGCCGCCCCCACCAGGUCCGCGUCGACGAGGCGCGUCGAGCGCCACAAGCCUCGUGGCCUGGAACGCCUCCUUCCUCCCACGCUCGUCCGCGCCAUGCCGCGGUGACCGCGUUUGGAACGCGCACGGCGUCGAACGCCUUGUGUGCGUGCACACAUGGUUCGCCAGCUCAGCCGCCACGUCGACCGCUGGACCCCACCCGUCAGCCUGUGGGUAGGUUCCAUCUCGUAACCCCCUGGCACUUCUGUGAAGUAACCCGGAGCCAUCCUGCCUCGUCAGCGCCCAGUCAGCAGCGUCCGACCCCGCGUGUCAGUGGGCCUGGGUAGAUCUCCC